AUUGAACGCUGGCGGCAGGCCUAACACAUGCAAGUCGAACGGUAACAGGAAGAAGCUUGCUUCUUUGCUGACGAGUGGCGGACGGGUGAGUAAUGUCUGGGAAACUGCCUGAUGGAGGGGGAUAACUACUGGAAACGGUAGCUAAUACCGCAUAACGUCGCAAGACCAAAGAGGGGGACCUUCGGGCCUCUUGCCAUCGGAUGUGCCCAGAUGGGAUUAGCUAGUAGGUGGGGUAACGGCUCCCCUAGGCGACGAUCCCUAGCUGGUCUGAGAGGAUGACCAGCCACACUGGAACUGAGACACGGUCCAGACUCCUACGGGAGGCAGCAGUGGGGAAUAUUGCACAAUGGGCGCAAGCCUGAUGCAGCCAUGCCGCGUGUAUGAAGAAGGCCUUCGGGUUGUAAAGUACUUUCAGCGGGGAGGAAGGGAGUAAAGUUAAUACCUUUGCUCAUUGACGUUACCCGCAGAAGAAGCACCGGCUAACUCCGUG
rnacentral:rRNA from 1 species